ensembl:lncRNA
AUGCGAUUUCAUGCCACAUACCUUCUUUUAAUACCAAGUCAUACAUUUCCCUUCAGCAACCAAGAACUGACUUUUAUAUUGGCAUUCGACAGAUUGGUGAACAUACCUAUCAGUGAUAGUAGCGCCCCUCCCCUCCCCCGCACGCACGCACGCACGCGCACACACACACACACACACCCAAGAUCAGAACCAAACAAAACAAAAAAAAAAAAUUGCUUUCUUACGUUUCACAUGUCAGGAUGGUGCCAGACACUCUUAUUGGAUAGUCAAAAAUCUCUUUUGUUUCUGUGUAAAAGGGAGGUCCUUUCAAGGCGUGAAUGUUUCAGAACUUUAAUUUAUUUGGAAAUGACCCAGCUCUUCAGUACACUGUCGUCACUUAGUUUAGCACAGGAUAGAAACUCGGGUAACCAAAACACCUGGAGAAACGAUUGUAUGUUCAGUUCAGUUCAGUGGCUCAGUCGUGUCUGACUCUUUGGGACCCCGUGGCCUGCAGGACGCUGGGCUUCCGUGUCCAUCACCAACUCCAGGGGCUUGCUCAAACUCAUGUCCAUCGAAUCAGUGAUGCCAUCCAACCAUCUUAGCCUCUGUCGUCCCCUUCUCCUCUGCCUUCAAUCAAGACUCUCAUAGGCAGAUAUUUUCGAGUGUAAUUAGUGUUCAUAGUUUCUCUAAAAGCUCAUAUCACAUUUAAUUUUUCGUUUUGUUCCUGUUCUUUCGAGGUACUUUCUUGUUGACAAGCUUGUGACAGAUAGAACGAUAUAGCAAUUUUUACCUUAGAACAAACCGAGGCACUAUGAACAUUUUGUGCUUCAUGUUGAUGACUCUUAGACAUGUCUACAGUAGAGGAGCAAAAACAAAACUACUAGAUAUUUCAUAUUGACUAGUUCCCAGUUCACGGGACUCUGACAUUCCCUGAGGUCAAAGUUUUCUUGUAUUGGAAGCAGUUGGGUUUGCAAGGGCUGCCUUGUCUUGAGACCAUUGAAAUAAGAACUCAGAACUUGAGCACUAUUAUCAAAAAUCACAAGGCUCACACUGACACAGACAUCAAUCCAGACAGACAAGACAAGACAUCUUCCAGUUUUCCGCCUGAGAUGGAAAAGAUUUCUUUGAGCCGUUUUUUCUGGGGAGUGGGGGGUGGGGCUGGCGGCCAGGCAGGCUUUGGGAAGGAGCUCAUGGUUUGGAAUUGCAUAUGAAAAGAACCAGCUUUCCGGGUUCCAAGGAAUCAAGUUUCCUUGGAAACCAACUUUGUCCGGUUCUAUAGAAUAUCAUGGCCCUCCUAGGUCAGGUCAUCUUUCCUUUCCGUAGUCCUCGUUGGAUCCCUGAAUUCUAGACAGCUUGGAUUGCCUCUGUGGGCUGGAUGGAUUGUCCUCCCGUUUCACCGGGCGGCGGGAGCGAGGUCCCAGAGGCU